rnacentral:rRNA from 1 species
GACGAACGCUGGCGGCGUGCCUAAUACAUGCAAGUUGAGCGCUGAAGGUUGGUACUUGUACCAACUGGAUGAGCAGCGAACGGGUGAGUAACGCGUGGGGAAUCUGCCUUUGAGCAGGGGACAACAUUUGGAAACGAAUGCUAAUACCGCAUAAAAACUUUAAACACAAGUUUUAAGUUUGAAAGAUGCAAUUGCAUCACUCAAAGAUGAUCCCGCGUUGUAUUAGCUAGUUGGUGAGGUAAAGGCUCACCAAGGCGAUGAUACAUAGCCGACCUGAGAGGGUGGUCGGCCACAUUGGGACUGAGACACGGCCCAAACUCCUACGGGAGGCAGCAGUAGGGAAUCUUCGGCAAUGGACGAAAGUCUGACCGAGCAACGCCGCGUGAGGGAAGAAGGUUUUCGGAUCGUAAAACUCUGUUGGUAGAGAAGAAAGUUGGUGAGAGUGGAAAGCUCACCAAGUGACGGUAACUACCCAGAAAGGGACGGCUAACUACGUG